rnacentral:rRNA from 1 species
GACGAACGCUGGCGGCGUGCUUAACACAUGCAAGUCGAACGGAAAGGCCUCUUUCGGGGGGUCCUCGAGUGGCGAACGGGUGAGUAACACUUGAGUAACCUGCCCUUGACUUUGGGAUAACUUCAGUAAACUGGGGCUAAUCCCGUACAGCAUCUCCUGCUGCAUGGUGGGGGUUGGAAAGUUUCGGCGGUUGGGGUUGGACUCGCGGCUUAUCAGCUUGUUGGUGGGUUAGUGGCUUACCAAGGCUUUGACGGGUAGCCGGCCGGAGAGAGUGACCGGCCACACUGGGACUGAGAGAAGGCACAGACGGCUACGGGAGGAAGAAGUGGGGAAGAUUGAACAAGGGGUGGAAGCCGGAUGCAGAAAGGCCGUGGGCGGGAUGACGGCCUUCGGGGUGAAAAACGCAUUAGAUCAAGACGAAGCGUUGAGUGACGUUAGUGGGUAAAGAAGCACCGGCUAACUACGUG